GGAUACAGAACUUUGCACCGUUCUGCAAUUUCCUUUGGGAACUGAUCAUUCAUGCCAAUUUUGGUCCCAGCAAGUAUUUUACCCAGGCUUUAACCAUUAUUUAAUAUUUGCCCUCUCUGUCUGAAGCGGUGUACAGGUUCGAGUUGGAUUUUGUCGAUAGCUUCGCGUGGAAUCUGAAGCACUGUAAGGGGGAACUCUCUUAACUACAGAUUCAGGAACUUCUCCUUCUUUCUCCUGGAUACCAGUGCUCUACAUAACUACGUUCAGCCCGCCAUUACCUGUCUCGGCAUAGGAGUUGGCAAGACAACACAGACAGAUCUGGGACCAGGCUACCCUACUGUACUACGAGACUCACCUUCUUAUGGCUCUCCUUGAGUAAACCUACAAGAAACAUACCUUGGAGUGGAACUCGUCAAUGGGCACUUGAUGGGUGCUGAUGUCCCUGGUGUCGACCUUGACGUGGCUGAGCCCCUGCUCCCUGAACUGUAGCUCCGGCUUGGUGUUGGCCUCAUCCAGAGUGGCAACCCUCUCCAGGUAUGUACCCAGGUGCUCCUCUGCCUCCUCCGCCUCCUCCAGCCCCACCAUCCAUGGAGAAGCCACCGAAGAUCAUCCCUCCAUCACCUCAAGAGCCAAAGCCCCCACCCAUGGAAGUGAAGUGAAGCUGUAGUGGAGGAGAUGCAAAUCCCCUUACCUCCGGUCCCUGUGUACACACUUCCAGACCUCCCGGAAAUCAUGGACAUGCCCAUAUCAGAGCAUGAGGAGUUGAAGCUCCCCAUGGAGGCUCCUGAGCUUAGCCUGACUCCAAUGCUAGAGAAGCUGCGGCUGCGAAUGGAGAACAUGACCAUGAUGACAUCAGAGAGUGCAAAAAGCAUGGUCUCUGGUGGGAGAUGAACUGCAAGCGGGGUGCAGUUGUGGUCUCUCUGUGAAACACUGUUAUUAAUGGGCAUGUGGAAUGUGCUGACUGGGGUCUGCCUUGAGCGAUCUCAGUAUUUUCAUGUUCACGAUCACAGGGUCUCACUCUCACUCUCUCUCUCUCUCUCUCUCUCUCUCUCUCUCUGUCUCUCUGUCUCUCUCUCUGUCUGUCUGUCUGUCUCUCUCUCUCUCUCUAUCUCUAUCUAUCUUAUUUUAUCUAUCAUCAGACAUACACUCUGACCCUGCUGGGAGUAUCUUUGUUUUCCAGAGUCCAUGUAAAAAAGGGCUAUGAAAUCAAAUCCAAUCUGUUUCCCUUUGGUUGCUAUGUGUUGUGCUAACUUGUCAUAUUGGGGAUGAGUAACAUGUCUCUCUCUCUGCCUUUCCUCUGCCGUCCCUUAUUGCAAGGCCAAUACACUACAUUUCACAAUUACUAAUUAGUGGCUUGCGUAGGCCAUUUACUGAAUUACCUUUAAACAUUGACACACGGUCUGCAUGUAAGCGAAAAGGUUCUAUUGAAUAGUUGCUGUGUAUUUCCAUAUCCUCAGACUGUGCUCUCUCAUCCUCACAUUGGCUAAAUGAUGAACGCCAGCUCUCUGUCUGGGACUGAUCCUCUGACAGCAAGAUAGACAGGAGAUCAAUACAAACCACUGCCCAUCCCAUCUUUGUUCUGUGCAUUGGCUUUUCCUUCUCUUAACCCCCCAACCUAAACCCACCCACUGCGCACACACUGGUUGAAUCAAUGUUGUUUCCAGGUCAUUUCAAUGAAAUUACGUUGAACCAACAUGGAAUAGAUGUUGAAUUGACGUCUGUGCCCAGUGGGCAUGCUCUGCCACUCAGUCCUAUCUGUCAGCUAGUCAGCCCAUCUGCAGGAUGUCCUCUAGCUCUUUCACUCACAAACAUGCCACCCCCUCCCCUCCGACCCCCUCCUCUAACUCUUGUAUAUCCAGACGUGCAAACAAGAGUGAUAGGGUCAUAGGUUUACACUACUUAGUGGAGGAUGGCUCAUACUAAUGGCUGGAAUGGAGUCAAUGGAAUGGUAUCAACCACAUGGAAACCACAUUGUUGAUGUGUUUGGUACCAUUCCAUUUACACCAUUCCAGUCAUUAUUAUGAGCCGUCCUCCCCUCAACAGCCUCCACUGACACUACUGUACAACUGCAAACCACAGUAACUCCACAUUUGGCCAAAAGACCGAAAUCAGGUUUUGUAGUAUCUGUUUUUAUCUUGUGUCCUGGUUCAAUUAUCUCCAGUUUCAGUGAAAAUACUGUAGUGUCAAAUUUCCAGUAACUACAAAAUCCAUGUAAAAACCAAGGCAAGCAGCAGCAACUUAAGUUACUAAGUGAAGUUACUGCAUUCUGGGUUUGUUCCACUGUGUUUUGACUGCAGUUACUGCAGUUUGCCUAUGGUAUCGAGUACAGGCCAUCCCGAUCAUGACUCACACACACCACGAGACAGCCAGUGAUCCAGUUGUUACCAGAAUAAACAGGGCACAAUCCCACAGACCAAUGAUGGUUGAACUCGCACUGAAAUGCAAAUACCCAGGUAAUGUAUACAUCGUUUGUGGUCUUGUACCUCCCUCUUUAGUUACAGAUUUAGUUCCCUAAUGCAAUUGGUAACCUUAAUGUCAUCAUUUGCAUAUUGAUUCAAAAAACACAUCGUUGGAUCUGUUUGGAUGUGUUUACAGACUAUGCUUCUUCUUCCUUUAGGUUAUCCCACCAAGGUGAAAUGAAAGGAUUUGAAAAGCAUAAAUGAAUCCAAGUACAUGUGUUUGUCAGAAACGACUGGUGUUACGUAAGUGAACGGGUCCACAGAGGGGUGUGUACACCAUAUGGAUGAGAUUGAAUCAAAUUGAAUCAAGUUGAAUCAAGUUGAA